rnacentral:sRNA from 1 species
AUUUACAAUUUUCAAAAUAUUCACUUUUUAUUAUUUAUUUCCAUACACUAAUAUUCGUAAAACACAUCUUACAUAUACAUUUUUGCAGCCAUUUUGUGAAAUAAAUCUUGUAGUUGAAACUUAUUUACGAUGGUUGCCACUGGACUUUAAUGUUAUUUUUGAUAAUUAGAAAGAAAAUCUUCGAAUUAAAUAUUUGAUAUUUAACAAUCUUCCCAAAAUCUCUCAACAUUAACUACAUGAUUAGUUACUAAAAUAAUUUUUUUUUUUUUUUUUAAUAAUU